UCUGCGAGUUUGCUCCCAUAUUGUUGCAGUUAAAACGCCCGUAGUCUGAAUUGGCCAGCAAUGGUCGUACGUAUUUUUACGUUCACUGUGAACAAAUCAGGACGCUUAGAGUAUGGCCACAUGAAUGACUCAGCGCAGUAUGAAGUCUUUGUUUUCUUCCGAAAACAAGCUCAAUGAGAGCCAUCGGGGGUAGAUCUAUCUCAUGACGAGUGGUGGAAUACUUUGACUCAUGAGAGAGAAGCUGAGGCGAAGGCGUCUACCUAGAGGGUUUCUGUCGAUCAAGGGCGAGAGUAGGAGUAUCCAACAGGAUUAGAGACCCUGGUAGUUCCUACCUUAAACGAUGCCGACAGGAGUUUGUCAUUUGUUAAUGGCAGAAUCUUUGGAGAAAUCAUAGUUCUUGGGCUCUGGGGGAACUACGACCGCAAGGCUGAAACUUGAAGGAAUUGACGGAAGGGCACACCAGGGGUGGAGCCUGUGGCUUAAUUUGAAUCAACACGGGGAAACUUACCAGGACCAGAUGUUUUUUAUGACUGACAGGCUUCGGGUCUUUCAGGAUAUUGUUUUUGGUGGUGCAUGGCCGUUGGUGGUGCGUGGGUUGACCUGUCUAGCGUUGAUUCAGCUAACGAGCGAGAUUAUCGCCAAUUAUUUACUUUGCCGAAGUCCUUCGGUUAAAGUUCUAAUUGGGACUCCCUGCGAUUUUAGCAGGUGGAAGAGGGUAGCAAUAACAGGUCCGUGAUGCCCUUUAGAUGCUCUGGGCUGCACGCGUGCUACAAUGUUAGGAUCAAUAGGACUGCGAGCCUGAGAGGGUGCGCUACUCUUAUAAUCCCUAACGUAGUUGGGAUUGACGUUUGUAAUCAGCGUCAUGAACCAGGAAUCCCUUGUAAAUGUGUGUCAACAACGCACGUUGAAUACGUCCCUGCCCUUUGUACACACCGCCCGUCGCUCCUACCGAUUGGAUGACUCGGUGAAAUCACCGGGAUGCUUACGAGCAGAAAGUGAUUAAAUCACGUUAUCUAGAGG
rnacentral:ncRNA from 2 species